CUGAGAGAGCUUCCAUGGGAGGAAGCACAGGGAGCCAAGCCACAGUCUGAAUACAGCUGCAGACAAGCUUCUACUUGGAUCCAGUAGCAGCUCUUCCUCCUCUGAUUAACCACAGAUUGGUGACCACUGAUGAGCCAAAGCACUACAUCUGAUUGCACAGUGGUGAUGGUUGGAUAUCAGGCAUGAGAUGUGUGUGGAGGGAUGGGAAAUACAGAUGAAAAAAAUCUUUCUAGGAGCUGAGAGUGUUGAUGGCAGGAUACGGCUACAUUGAAUUUACCAUGUUCCCCGUGGUUUUUGUACAUCUGUGAAACUUUGAAUAAUGCAAAGCUAAAAACAAUUUUGAACUUCUGGAGAAGUCUAACUAUGGCUAUGUGAGUUGUGGUGACUGAGUUUGAUUAUACUUUUGUUUUUGACAGGCAAAAUUCUCAAGCAUUUUGCUGGCAAUUUUAUAUGAAUCUCUAAAAUGACUCGCAGUUUGCAGUAUAAAGGAGACCAAAGUGGACUCAAAGAACUCAAGGGAGGAAGAAGGCAGAGCGAAAGCUUGAAUCUGGACUGAGUGUGAAAAGAUACAGGCAAUGGGCUUGGAGAGAUGGCCCAGCAUUGGCAGAGCAGGGGAAAAUAUCUCUUGUGAAAGAAAGAAGGAGGAGGAGGAGGAGGAGGAGGAAAAGAAGAAGAAGAAGAAGGAGGAGAAGAAGAAGAAGAAGAAGAAGAAGAAGAAGAAGAAGAACCACCACCACCACCA
rnacentral:lncRNA from 1 species